CGGCGCUGCAUGCGAUCUCCAUCGCCGCGGCCCCUCCACCGAUCGCCUUCCGCGGGACAUCAUCACCAGCAACCUCCGCUGGGGUGUGAGGUGCUAUGAGCAUGUGACUCUAAAUCUACUAGUCCUAGAAUGGAUUACAGUUGUCAGGAAUUUUUGUUGGGACUAGUGAGCUUCAGUACCGUAGAAAGACACAGCUACAUUAUUUGUACUCUAGUACAGUACCGUAGAGUCAUUAUCAGGCCAUUCAUUUAUAAUGCCAAUAGGAUGGUUUAAUAUUCAAAGACUAGUUUCUUGCUUGUUCAUGUUAGCUGAUUUUAAACCUAACUAUUUGAUUUUUGUCUUGCAGUGAUAUAAAAAAGUUGAAACUUUCAUACUUACCUGCCGAGAAUGCAUUGUUGAAGUUGCAAAGAUGAAUCCUACAUGGAGUGGAAUUUAUCUCCGGGUUAAUUAACCUUGGUUGCCAAACUAGCCCUCAAUGUGCGGGACAAGAAGGGAAAUACUGCUUUGCACAUAGCUACACG